UACGUGGGGUGCAAGCGUUGUUCGGAAUUACUGGGCGUAAAGCGCGUGUAGGUGGUCAAACAAGUCAGGUGUGAAAUCCCUCGGCUUAACUGAGGAAGUGCGCCUGAAACUAUUUGGCUUGAGUACGGGAGAGGAGGAUGGAAUUCCCAGUGUAGAGGUGAAAUUCGUAGAUAUUGGGAAGAACACCUGUGGCGAAAGCGAUUCUCUGGACCGUAACUGACACUGAGACGCGAAAGCGUGGGGAUCAAACAGG
rnacentral:rRNA from 1 species